UCAGCCCAGAUCUGUAAAAACAAUGAUA
rnacentral:piRNA from 1 species